GACGAACGCUGGCGGCGUGCUUAACACAUGCAAGUCGAGCGGUAAGGCCCUUCGGGGUCCACGAGCUGCGAACGGGUGCGUAACACGUGAGUAAUCUGCCCAUCACUUCGGGAUAACUCCGGGAAACCGGUGCUAAUACCGAAUAUGACCACUUCAGGCAUCUGAUGGUGGUGGAAAGUUCCGGCGGUGAGGGAUGGGCUCGCGGCCUAUCAGCUUGUUGGUGGGGUAGUGGCAUACCAAGGCUUCGACGGGUAGCCGGCCUGAGAGGGUGACCGGCCACACUGGGACUGAGAUACGGCCCAGACUCCUACGGGAGGCAGCAGUGGGGAAUAUUGGACAAUGGGCGGAAGCCUGAUGCAGCAACGCCGCGUGCGGGAUGACGGCCUUCGGGUUGUAAACCUCUUUCAGCAGGGACGAAGCGCAAGUGACGGUACCUGGAGAAGAAGCACCGGCUAACUACGUG
rnacentral:rRNA from 1 species